rnacentral:misc_RNA from 1 species
UCCCGUUUAACACGGGCAGUCUCCGUAGAGCGCCACAGCAUUACCUGGGGGCAACUACGGAUAGGGGUUGCGCUCGUUGCGGGACUUAACCCAACACCUCACGGCACGAGUUGACGACAGCCAUGCAGCAUCUGUGCACGGACCCGAAGGAGACCGGCUUUCACCGGCUGUCCCGUGCAUGUCAAGCCCUGGUAAGGUUCUUCGCGUAGCUUCGAAUUAAACCGCACGCUCCGCUGCUUGUGCGGGCCCCCGUCAAUUCCUUUGAGUUUCAAUCUUGCGAUCGUACUCCCCAGGUGGAAUACUUAACGCUUUCGCUUAGACGCGUACUGUGUAUCGCACACAUCGAGUAUUCAACGUUUACAGCGUGGACUAC